rnacentral:lncRNA from 1 species
CACGAAAGCAGGUUUGCGGAUUUCACUUUAAUCUGCAGUGCCACCUUGUGGUUAUCAAUAAAGACCGCACCCAGGGCAGGAAGAGGCUAUGUAACUGUAGUUCACAUUCAAAUGUGGCCAAGGAAGGAUGAUGCAAGCAUGUGCUUUCUUUCCCUGUAGCUGGGCCCGAAUGAGGGGAAUGGAAGAGUUUUAUUUCCAAGGUUUUCCUGUUAGACUGUUCUGAGCAAAGUGUUCCAGGAACCCGG